rnacentral:rRNA from 1 species
UACGUAGGGUGCGAGCGUUAAUCGGAAUUACUGGGCGUAAAGCGUGCGCAGGCGGUUAUGCAAGACAGAUGUGAAAUCCCCGGGCUCAACCUGGGAACUGCAUCAGUGACUGCAUAGCUAGAGUGCGGCAGAGGGGGAUGGAAUUCCGCGUGUAGCAGUGAAAUGCGUAGAUAUGCGGAGGAACACCGAUGGCGAAGGCAAUCCCCUGGGCCUGCACUGACGCUCAUGCACGAAAGCGUGGGGAGCAAACAGG